UUAUACUAGAUUAAAUAACAUUUAUGUGUUGUAUGAUUGCACUGAAUUGAAAUGCAUUACAUUUUUAUUGUCAUUUCAAUUCAACAUCUUAAAAGGGUGUAGCCAAAUCCAAUUAAUAAAAAAUCCAAUUCAUAAAUUCUGAACAACCCUGGUAAGCUACAUAAUGAGCUAACCAAUCAAACUAUGUGUUCAGUAACAACUUUUGAAUUGGGAUAGUGUAUCACCCCUCACAACCAGCAAUGACAGAGAAUUGUGCAAGUCAACAGAAGACAACAUUUGACAUGGCAGCAUCCAGGAAGUCAAGUUGAUUUUGCAGGUGGUCAUGAAACCCAGGUCUGUCAUUGACGUUUGUGGAAGUCUGUGCCCUGUCUGUCCGUCUGCCCUCAAUAAAUCCCUUUGCCUUGGAUUUACGGCUCCCAGACUCUGCUUCACUGCGCCCUGCUCGUUCACCCUUCUAUCGAUUCUCAACAGAAUGACAGACCUGGGAAAACAGACUUGAACGCAGACUAAAUACAGGACGUGUCCUCAGAAUAAACGCAAGACAGCUGAUACAAUGGGAAUUGACACGGGGUUAACGAGGAGGGCGUGGCACACACGAGGACUGGACGUGCAGGUCAUGACACUCAGGACUUCAUGUGGGGGCUCCAGGCCGACUGAUGCUGCCUUCUCCGUUACCUGUUUGAAAAUUUCCUCAAAGUCUUCAUCUGUUGUGCUGUGUGCCAGUCUCUGCAAAACUCCAUCUACAACUUUGUAGGCUGCUGCCAAGUCUAUGUCUGUCUGCUACAAUGGAUCAGAAGCAAUUGCAGUUACCUGGAAGAUUGGACAACUGAUCCCCAUACACAAGAAAAAUUCAAAAUUGAUGAUUUUGAGAAGAAUCAUUGCAUCACCCAGUUCCUCAAGGAAUUGCAUGACUGCUGGUCAGACCUUCCACAGGGUCUUGGGGCAGGGCCAUCUAAUGUCAGACAGCUACUCAUCUCCAAUGUGCAAGCAGAUCUGGGUUCAUUUUCUUUUGUUUCAAUAAAGGCAGUGUCAUUUUGAUGAGUUGCCCCCCCAAAGUGUAAAGUCUUUCAACUAAAUAAAAAAAAUUAAAAUA